rnacentral:rRNA from 1 species
GGUUAAGUUAGAAAGGGCGCACGGUGGAUGCCUUGGCACUAGGAGCCGAUGAAGGACGGGACGAACACCGAUAUGCUUCGGGGAGCUGUAAGCAAGCUUUGAUCCGGAGAUUUCCGAAUGGGGAAACCCACUGCUCGUAAUGGAGCAGUAUCCAUAUCUGAAUUCAUAGGAUAUGAGAAGGCAGACCCGGGGAACUGAAACAUCUAAGUACCCGGAGGAAGAGAAAGCAAAUGCGAUUCCCUGAGUAGCGGCGAGCGAAACGGGAACAGCCCAAACCAAGAGGCUUGCCUCUUGGGGUUGUAGGACACUCUGUACGGAGUUACAAAAGAACGAGGUAGAUGAAGAGGUCUGGAAAGGCCCGCCAUAGGAGGUAACAGCCCUGUAGUCAAAACUUCGUUCUCUCCUGAGUGGAUCCUGAGUACGGCGGAACACGUGAAAUUCCGUCGGAAUCCGGGAGGACCAUCUCCCAAGGCUAAAUACUCCCUAGUGACCGAUAGUGAACCAGUACCGUGAGGGAAAGGUGA